AAUCCAUGUGCUCUUCUCUUUUUCAUUUUCCUUCUUUUUAGUGGACAAAAUUUAUUUUCACGGACACAUAAUUGUCCUUUCCCUCGUAAAAUCAAGACUACAUCAAUUUAACAUUAAACCAAAAACAAGUUGUCAUUUGAAUACUCUCCUCGAGCAACGCAAUAUUUUAGGCUAUUAUACGCACAUUGUAGGAUAAUUAUG